CCUACGGGAGGCAGCAGUAAGGAAUCUUCCACAAUGGACGAAAGUCUGAUGGAGCAACGCCGCGUGCAGGAUGAAGGCUUUCGGGUCGUAAACUGCUUUUAUAUGGGAAGAUUAUGACGGUACCAUAUGAAUAAGGACCGGCUAACUACGUGCCAGCAGCCGCGGUAAUACGUAGGGUCCAAGCGAUAUCCGGAAUUACUGGGCGUAAAGCGUGUGUAGGUGGAUUAAUAAGUGUGAUGCGAAAUCCGGCGGCUCAACCGUUUGGACUGUGUCGCAUACUGUUAGUCUAGAGGACGGCAGAGGUAAGUGGAAUUACGGGUGUAGCGAGUGAAAUGCGUAGAUAUCCGUAAGGAACACCAAUGGCGAAGGCAGCUUACUGGGCCACACCUGACACCUGAGACACGAAAGCGUGGGGAGCGAACAGGAUUAAGAUACCCUGGUAGUACCACGCCGUAAACGAUGCAUACUAUUAGUAAUGGGGUAUCGACCCCUGUGCUGAGAAGCUAACGCGANAAUAUAGCGCGCGGAGGACGAGCGCGAGACGUAAACUUAAAAGUAAAGUAAGUAGAGAGAGAGAGCGACGACGACGACGACGAGGAGGAGAG
rnacentral:rRNA from 1 species